CCAGCUUCGAAUGACAAUUUUAGGGGUUUGUGUCCAAGAGGGUUUUUGCUGCACCUAGCCUUUCCCUGUCCACAGAGCAGAAGGCAUGCUGAGCAUUCUGGCCCUACUUCUAGCUUUCUUGCCUGCUGGCAGACAAACAUCCCCCAACUUGGAAGAAAGAAUAAUGUCAAUUGUCAGGCCAAUGGGAUCCUCUGUCAUAAUCACCUGUGAUAUUUACGCAACAGACAGUUAUAUCCACUGGUACCUAUUCCAGAAGGGGAAGGCCCCACAGUACCUUCUCUACUAUAACCGCCUCAAGUCCGAAACUGUGGUGGAUUCUGGACUUAGUUCAGAGAAGUACUAUGUUUAUGAAGGCACAGAUAAGACUUACAAAUUUGUACUUCGGAAUGUGGAAGAGUCUGAUUCUGGUCUGUAUUACUGUGCCUGCUGGGCUGGCACAAUGAUUCAGUCUUGCCCUUAUCUGUACUGAAUCAUUAACUUGCAGCUGUUACUAGUGCACAAGACAGACCAGCUCCUCUCUCACCUCAUGCCUCUCACUUCUCUCUGAAGAGAAAAUUCUGGACACCUUGCCUUAUUGUUGCCUUGUAUAC